UAGAGGGAAGCAACCGUGAAAGCGGGGGCCGACCAAGCGGAAGCGAGAAUGUCGGCUUGAGUAACAAAAACAUUGGUGAGAAUCCAAUGCCCCGAAAACCCAAGGUUUCCUCCGCAAGGUUCGUCCAUGGAGGGAGAGUCGAGGCCUAAGAUUAGGCCGAAAGGCGUAGUCGAUGGACAACAGAUCAAUAUUCCUGUACUACCCCUUGUUGGUACGGAGGGAUGGAGGAGGCUAGGUUAGCCGAAACAUGGUUAUAGGUUUAAGGACACAAGGUGACCCUGCUUUUUUAGGGUAAGAAGGGGUAGAGAAAAUGCCUCGAGCCGAGGUCCGAGUACCAAGCGCUGCAGCGCUGAAGUAUGAGCCCCGUGGACUAGUGAUUGCUUCUCCACGAGGCUCAUACCAGGCGCUACAGCGCUGAAGUAUGUAACUAAUGCCAUACUCCCAGGAAAAGCUCGAACGACCUUCAA